AACGUCUCAGUUCGGAUUGUAGUCUGCAACUCGACUACAUGAAGCUGGAAUCGCUAGUAAUCGCGAAUCAGAAUGCUGCGGUGAAUGCGUUCCCGGGUCUUGUACACACCGCCCGUCACACCACGGAAGUUGGGGGCGCCCGAAGCCACUUAGCUAACCCUUUUGGGAAGCGAGUGUCGAAGGUGAAAUCAAUAACUGGGGUGAAGUCGUAACAAGGUACC
rnacentral:rRNA from 1 species